rnacentral:lncRNA from 1 species
AUGUGAUUCUAGUCCCAGCUCUAACACUUAAUAACUCCAUGACCUUGGGCAACGGACAUAACCCCUGUACACUGCAGUUUUCUCAUCUGUAGAGUAUUGAUGUUGGACUUGAUUCCUUCCAGCUGUAACAACAAAGGAUUUUUGGUCCUUAAAUUUCUGUUUACUAGCCCAUUCACCCGCCCUAUCAAUGGAGACGCCACUUACACUUCAAAAAGAUAGAAAAAUAAUAUCAUCUGCUAACAAACAAUGUCUGAACACAAGUUCAGACGAAACAGAAACGGAACAUGGUGAUACAAGCAAAUGAAAAAACCCAGGUACUGACUGGGCUAGGUACCUGUAGAAAACACACUUUGGAAUGACUACUCAGCCUACAAGGAUGCCCUCAGCUACACUGCUCUCCAUGGCGUGAGCCCCUUCUGCUGUGUUUACUCUACCUCGGUCUACUGCUCCCUCCUAACUGUCCCCAGCCGCCAUCCGUUCAUGCCACAGUGAACUCCUACCAUAAGAAACAACGUUCCCCAGAAAAACCCUGGAGAAACCUUGCUCUAGUUCAACACCCUUAUUUUACAAGCGAAGAAAUGGAAGCUGGGACUAGCUGAUUUUCUCAAGGUCACAGGAAGAACUGAACCAAGAACUCAGGUUUGAGGAAGAUAAUGCCUAUUGGUAUUCACAGAGAAGGAGAAAACUCUUCUUAUAAAGAUCAUGAGAUUGAAAUAUUUAACACCAUUUCAACCAACAAAAAUCCCAUAUUUUAUCCCAUUUAUAGAUCUUCUACAUAUAGGAUCUGUUUUGCAAACACGACACCUUUGUUUGUAAGCAUGGAGACAUAUGUUGUUUGCUCCUAAUAUUGUACCGUACGUGGGAAAAUGAAAUGCCUUCUAUAUGGGAUGCUAAUUUAACUUUCAUCUUGUUAUAUGGACUAAACAUUACAUGGAAUUUUGAUAGAAUCGCACUGUCUUAAGUUGCGCUAUUAGCUCUAACAGUUGUGAUAGGCUAAGGGGGGGAAAACCCCACGUUUUAUUGCUUUGACAAACCAAC